rnacentral:lncRNA from 1 species
AAUACUUUUUCCCUCUAAAAGUGAGGGGAAAAAAUAUCGUCUGCUGCUACUGAAAAUCGGAAUUUGCUCAGCCGACGACGAAACGAUUUUUCCUGCGAAAUAAAGAGUCGUUAUCUGUUUGUUGCGAAUGAGAAUUUGGAAAUGAAAUGUGCUUAACGCGAUUAUUCAUCAACAUUUAUAUAUAAGAAAAGUAUUGAGAAGGACAUGUUUCACGUCUGAUAAUGGCGUCAGUUAACCGGAUCAGUGAAGGUUGGGAGAGUGACUGUGCUCCGGUCCAAUUUCAAUGGAUGAAAAUAAAUUAAUAUCUAUUUAGAAAAAAUUACAUUUGAGUUUUAAAAAGUUAGGGGAAGAUGAAAAAUUAACAGAGCAGAGAAGAAACCAGAAUCUCUUCAAGUGCAAAACUUGUUUUAAUCAACUAAAACAAAAAGAAUCCUCUUCGGAAGAGAGAAUAAUUGAAUGCAGCUUUCUAUGGAAACUUACAGCAGAAAAAACAUUCGAAAUUACAAAGAACUGAAAUAAGAGACUUAUAUAUUUAGUUAUACUUGACUAGAGUUUAACAACUCUACUAUUUUUUCACAAAUUAAAGACAAAGUCGCUCUAAA